UCCGUGUUAACCACGGCAGUCUCUUUAGAGAGCCCAACUGAAUGCUGGCAACUAAAGACAAGGGUUGCGCUCGUUGCGGGACUUAACCCAACAUGUCACCACACGAGCUGACGACAGCCAUGCAGCACCUGUCUCUCGGUCGUAUUGCUACGAAUUCUGCAUCUCUGCAGCGGUCCGAGGAUGUCAAACCCAGGUAAGGUUUUGCGCGUUGCUUCGAAUUAAACCACAUGAUCCACCGCUUGUGCGGGCCCCCGUCAAUUCCUUUGAGUUUUAGUCUUGCGACCGUACUUCCCAGGCGGGGUACUUAACGCGUUAGCUACGGCUCGGCGGGGGUCAAGACCCACCAUGCCUAGUACCCAUCGUUUACGGCGUGGACUAC
rnacentral:misc_RNA from 1 species